UGCGACCUCAGGUCAGGCGG
rnacentral:rRNA from 3 species